GAUGAACGCUGGCGGCGUGCCUAAUACAUGCAAGUCGAGCGAACGGACGAGAAGCUUGCUUCUCUGAUGUUAGCGGCGGACGGGUGAGUAACACGUGGAUAACCUACCUAUAAGACUGGGAUAACUUCGGGAAACCGUAGCUAAUACCGGAUAAUAUUUUGAACCGCAUGGUUCAAAAGUGAAAGACGGUCUUGCUGUCACUUAUAGAUGGAUCCGCGCUGCAUUAGCUAGUUGGUAAGGUAACGGCUUACCAAGGCAACGAUGCAUAGCCGACCUGAGAGGGUGAUCGGCCACACUGGAACUGAGACACGGUCCAGACUCCUACGGGAGGCAGCAGGGGAAUCUUCCGCAAUGGGCGAAAGCCUGACGGAGCAACGCCGCGUGAGUGAUGAAGGUCUUCGGAUCGUAAAACUCUGUUAUUAGGGAAGAACAUAUGUGUAAGUAACUGUGCACAUCUUGACGGUACCUAAUCAGAAAGCCACGGCUAACUACGUG
rnacentral:rRNA from 1 species